GAUGAACGCUAGCGGCAGGCUUAACACAUGCAAGUCGAGGGGCAGCGCGGGGUAGCAAUACUCUGGCGGCGACCGGCGCAAGGGUGCGUAACGCGUGAGCAACUUGCCCGUUUCAGGGGGAUAACCGGUGGAAACGCCGACUAAUACCCCAUAGUAUCAGAUGAAGGCAUCUUUAUCUGAUUAAAGAAAUUCGGAAACGGAUAGGCUCGCGUGACAUUAGCUAGAUGGCGGGGUAACGGCCCACCAUGGCGACGAUGUCUAGGGGUUCUGAGAGGAAGGUCCCCCACACUGGAACUGAGACACGGUCCAGACUCCUACGGGAGGCAGCAGUGAGGAAUAUUGGUCAAUGGUCGCAGGACUGAACCAGCCAUGCCGCGUGAAGGUCACGGCCCUAUGGGUCUUAAACUUCUUUUGCGAGGGAGCAAUAAGGCGCACGUGUGCGUCGAUGAGAGUACCUCGCGAAUAGCAUCGGCUAACUCCGUG
rnacentral:rRNA from 1 species